rnacentral:lncRNA from 1 species
GCCCUCUUUCAUGGCCCACACGGUUGGGACCAUAUCUAUCUUUAAAUUUUUAUAGAAUGUUAAUACUUCUAUAGUCUGUUUUUCAGGCAUCACGUAUUUUAUCCUGCUUAUUUAGAUUUUGUAAAACUUGUAUUAUGUUUAGGUUUAAUGAGAACUACAUAAAAAAUGAGCUAAAUUUGGGCCUGAUCCAGUCUAAGAGACUCAAUGGAGCCAUCGGUAAAUAAAAUCAAGCCUCUUUAGCACCAGAGCCCAGAUAUAGGGUGCAAAAUUUUUUCUUGAUCUACUACUAUGUCAUCCUUUUUAUUUUUUUAUUUAUUAACUAAAAUAGAUGAAAGAUAAACCAAAAUCAGAC